rnacentral:lncRNA from 1 species
CUGAAGAUGGAGGAUCCUUAGAGUUGGUGACAAGAAAAGUCUCGAGAUGUUGUUGGUGUCAUGGAGGAAGGAAGAAUGCCAACAGAAAAUAUCAACACCUACUGAUGGGUGUUUGGGGUUUACCAGGUCAAGCUAAUGACGUUAAAAGAGCGUUUGCUGGGAGGCAACCCAGUUUCUGAAUUUUUUUUAUCCUUUAUUUUGUUUUGAUUUUAUUUUAUUUGAUUUUAUUUUAUUUUAUUUGAUUUUAUUUUAUUUGACUUGAUUUUAUUUGAUUUUAUUUGAUUUGAUUUGAUUUGAUUUGAUUUUAUUUUAUUUUAUUUUAUUUUAUUUUAUUUUUUCGGAUUAUG